ensembl:processed_transcript
GGGUCGGGCCAGUCAGUGCCUGCGCGAGCUGACUCGUGGGAUUGAGUCCUUACAUGAGACAUUCAUGACUGAUGGCAGUGCCAGAGGCAUGGGUGAAUAUCAGCAGUUACAUCAGAUGGACAAGGAAAUGGAAAUGGUACCAUUACAUGGAUUAUGCAAGAUUUUGUGGCCCUGUCAGGCAAUAUUUCGAUGUUCUCUCAGGACUGACUUACUCCAUGAGUACUGAAUAAUGAUUUCUCUACUGCUGAAUGUACUGAGGUUGCUAUGCGAAAACAACAAACAUUGGACAGCUUAGGUGGGAUCAUUUCACAAAAUAAAUGGACUGAUCUUACUGC